CCUACGGGAGGCAGCAGUGGGGAAUAUUGCACAAUGGACGAAAGUCUGAUGCAGCAACGCCGCGUGGAGGAUGACACAUUUCGGUGCGUAAACUCCUUUUAUAUAAGAAGAUAAUGACGGUAUUAUAUGAAUAAGCACCGGCUAACUCCGUGCCAGCAGCCGCGGUAAUACGGAGGGUGCAAGCGUUACUCGGAAUCACUGGGCGUAAAGAGCGUGUAGGCGGAUUGAUAAGUUUGAAGUGAAAUCCUAUAGCUUAACUAUAGAACUGCUUUGAAAACUGUUAAUCUAGAAUGUGGGAGAGGUAGAUGGAAUUUCUGGUGUAGGGGUAAAAUCCGUAGAGAUCAGAAGGAAUACCGAUUGCGAAGGCGAUCUACUGGAACAAUAUUGACGCUGAGACGCGAAAGCGUGGGGAGCAAACAGGAUUAGAUACCCCAGUAGUCC
rnacentral:rRNA from 1 species